CUGCAACCCCCAUCGGAUAAGAAGGCCGGCCGCGUCGACGACCCAACCGGAGACGACGGAAUGGCGCCAUCUGAUACAGCGGCUGCUUCCCAGGCGAGCGAGCUCCGAAUCUGGCCAUUUCAGCCUCAUCAGUCCCUCCCUCAUCCUUCUAGUUAAACAGUGCCUGGAUACUGAUGCGUGAAGGUGUCCCAGAUGCUCGGUCCUCUGCCCCCUUCCGCUGCGCCACCCUCAUACUGCAUCAUGCGUGAAGCAACGACCAAUUCUUCAGGAAAAAUAAGGUGGAAGCCUGACCUGAUAGGACGAAGAGGAUGUCCCGAAGAUGAAGUCCUUGGGGAAGCUUCUCCGGCUGAUCGGCGGCAGCUCGCCGGCGUCGACGCUGGCGACAGCCAGGAGGAGGAGGAGAAGACGACCACCGGACACCACCACCGCCCCAGGAAACGCCAUCUGAAGUGUGACCCUGCAACAGAGAGAGUGAUGGAUAUCUGAAGACAAGCGGCUCAACAUAGCGUCCCCAUAAAUAGCGACUUGCAUUGGCAUCUUGUUGGAUUUGUGUGGACUACCAUACCAUGAGGACUACUCACCAAGCAAUGCAAUAUUGCUGAUAGCGAUGGAUUUUUGUA